rnacentral:rRNA from 1 species
CCUACGGGAGGCAGCAGUGAGGAAUAUUGGUCAAUGGACGCGAGUCUGAACCAGCCAAGUAGCGUGAAGGAUGACUGCCCUAUGGGUUGUAAACUUCUUUUAUAAAGGAAUAAAACGAGGCACGUGUGCCUUUUUGCAUGUACUUUAUGAAUAAGGAUCGGCUAACUCCGUGCCAGCAGCCGCGGUAAUACGGAGGAUCCGAGCGUUAUCCGGAUUUAUUGGGUUUAAAGGGAGCGUAGAUGGGUUGUUAAGUCAGUUGUGAAAGUUUGCGGCUCAACCGUAAAAUUGCAAUUGAUACUGGCAGUCGUGAGUACAGUUGAGGUAGGCGGAAUUCGUGGUGUAGCGGUGAAAUGCUUAGAUAUCACGAAGAACCCCGAUUGCGAAGGCAGCUUACUAAACUGUGACUGACAUUGAUGCUCGAAAGUGUGGGUAUCAAACAGGAUUAGAUACCCUUGUAGUC